UGGCAUUAUAAAAUUUGUUGUCUGACCAUCUUGCAAGAACUCGAGCUCCUGGAAUGAGUCCCUCAAAGCUAGUAAUUGGCGACUCCUUUUCUGGCAGUGACUGGCUCACUGACUUUUCUUUUUUUGAUUGGGUUACGGAUUCUUUUAGGUAUCUCCAUCACACUGAUCUCUGUUCUGUGGAUAAGACCAAAUUCUCAGUACCAUAAACUAUGCCUAAUAAAAAGAUCUUUGUGGGCUA